rnacentral:misc_RNA from 1 species
GUCAGAAGUUGGAAGAGGACAAGGUUACUUCUAUCAUUUUGCUUUGUUUGCACCACUGAGUAUUAAAAUAGUAGUUCUAUAAUUUGAUGAAAUUGGGCAAGUUUUGCUUGUUCUUUUUUAAUUAACUUAAUACUUCUUGAGAAAGAAAAGCAUUUAAACUUCUCUAGAUGCUAAAAACCAAGAUCUUGCCAGAUCUCAAUUUGAAGAUACCAAAAAAUUGUAUUAAUCCUUCUAUCGCUGUCCAACAUACUGCAUCACAGUUGUUGUUUACUUUAUAUUUGGAGUGGUCCAUUUUUUGUAGUUGAUCCCUGAUUUUAGUUGGAUGUUUCACAGGCAGAAAGAAGAAGGAGGCUU